AGUUUAUUCCUUUCUCUCUUUCCCAGCCAUGGCCUCUCAGCCACCAGUCACCUCUUCCCCCAACCCCCUGACCUCCCACUUCUCUUCUCAAUUCAACUGCUCUUCAGGAUUUCUGGUUGCACUACCUCUGGAGACAAGACUCUAGCAUUUGUUCAGAGUUACCUGACCCUCAGGAAGAUUUAGGCUUUUUUUUUUUCUCCCAUCUCACCUUGUAUAAAUAUGUCUUCUCAGUAUAGUAAUGUCAUUGGAUUGAGGAUACUUGUUUGCAGAGGAGGCAAGAAUGCGUUGUUCCGUUUUUGAAUUCCACACAUCUAAUAUGGAGCCUGAGCCACAGGGCUCAAAAUGUUAAGUAAACAAAUGAAUGGGAAAUUAAUAAGAAGAAUGCAUUGGCAAGACCGUGAAGGUACAUUUCUAGGAGUGAAUGUGAGUCUGUCGGACCAUGUGGCAAUGUGUAUUUGUAAUUCUUUUUAAAUGCACAAGUUUGAGGACUGUGUUGAGUAUUGGGUAGUAUCUCUUUGAAGUGUAUUUUUUACUUGACUGUGCUUUUAAAUAAAGAAUGGCUGUGUCAGUAUGAUCUUGGCUAUGUCUAAUUACUAUUUUUGUGAAAUGGGACAAAUAAAGCUUGUUCUUUAUAGAGCACUGCUCUUGUAGUGUGCAUGUGUGUGAUGGCUUGUGUAUUUGAGUGCUUUGGAGGGGCCGUGUUCCUGGAGAACAAUCUAUUGACACUGAUGGUGGGCUGAGUAGUAAGCUUAAGAAAUUUCCCUGACUUCAAGGAAUUUACAACAUCCUUGCGGGGGAUUUAGACUCUGAUGUAAUUAUUCUCAGGACAUAUAAUAAAGUACUAAAUUGCUCAUCAAAGACAAUCAGAUAAUACAUAUUAAAAAGCUAAUUGUGCAGUAAAAACAAGUGCAAAAGAAGUCAGUGGGGGAAAGAUAAGCUUGAAUUGGAACUACCAGAAAUGUCUUAUGAAGAGAGGGAUUUUUCUUUCCAUUUUGUCUACUGUCCAAUGAAAAGCUCAGCAGACCCAGCAAUCCCAUUACUGGGUAUAUACCCAAAGGAAUACAAGUCAUUCUUUUAUAAAGAUACAUGCACCAUAUGCUUAUUGCAGCACAUUCGCAAUAGCAAAGACAUGGAAUCAACCUAAAUGUCCAUCAGUGAUAAAGAAAAUGUGGUACAUAUACACCAUGGAAUAUGAUACAGCCAUAAAAAGCAAUGAGAUCAUUCCCUUGCAGGGACAUGGAUGGAACUGGAAGCCAUUAUUCUCAGCAAACUAACACAGGAACAGAAAACCAAACACUGCAUAUUCUUACUUACAAGUGGGAGCUGAAUGAUGAGAACACAUGGACACAUGGGGAUGGGGAACAACAAAUGCUGGGGCCUGUCUGGGGUGGGGACUUGGGGAGGGAGAACAUCAGGAAGAAUAGCUAAUGGAUGCUGGGCUUAAAACCUAGGUGAUGGGAUGAUCUGUGCAGCAAACCACCAUGGCACACUUUUACGUAUGUAACAAACCUGCACAUUCUUCACAUGUACCCCUGAACUUAAAAGUAAAAAAUAAGGCUUAACAGAACAUUUUUUAGGGCAUCUCAGCUUCCCUUUUUCCAGCUGAUAAGAAUGUUUUGACUUAGUUCUUGUUCAUAUUGAGGCCCCAGUCCCCUGUUUGGCUUGAUGCUAGUGGCAAUUAGGGGUGCAAUUGGAGUCAGAGAAUUUCUUCCUCCAGGUAGGUCCCUGUGUUCCACCAAUGCAAAGGAUUGCUUGGGUUCAGGUUCCUGUGGCCCUUGGACUACAGUCAGAAUUCUCAGUGUCCUCAGUGUUCUGAUUUUUUAAUGUCUAAACACACUUCACACCUAAGAUCUGAUAAUCUGGAAACUGAACCUAAGAAGAAAUGGUAUGGCAGCUAGCUUCCAAGAUGGUACCCAAUGAGCCAUUUCAUGCCUGUGUAGUGCUUUUCCACAUUGAUAGGGCUGAUUUUUGCAACCAGUAAGAUAUUGUGUAACUGGUGGUGUGUGACUUCCUAGGCUGCAUCAUGAAAUACUUAAUUUUUGCCUUGUUCUGUCUUGGAAAGAAGGCCUGCCAUGGGAAGCUUUGGGAAGAAGCCAGCUGCCAUGUUGUGAGAACUCUCAAGCAGCUGUGUGGAGAGAUCCAUGUGGUGAGGAACUGAAGCCUCCUACCCACCAUCAAGUCAGUGGCUCACUACUGUUGCAGUGAAUUCUCCAGCCCAUGAAGACUUUAGAUGAUUUACCCAACAUCUUGAUUAUAGCCUCAUGGAUUCCCUGAGCCAGAACAACCCAGCUAAGCCUCUCCUGAAUUCCUUACCUACAGAAACUGUGAGAUAAUAAAUAUUUAUUCUUUUAAGCCAUCAAAUUUUGGGUAAUUUAUUAUGCAGUAAUAUGU
rnacentral:lncRNA from 1 species